rnacentral:lncRNA from 1 species
CCCAAGAUUAUUGCUAAAUAUUAAUUAACAAGAAGAAGAUCUUAGUUUCAAUGUUAGUUAAGGGGUAACAUUUGACUAGAAUAUGAGCCACUUAUGGCACAUCAUAACCCUCUGCCUCACCAUACUUGCAUUAGAUGUGAUAGUGUUUUUUCAUUGCUUAUUUUAUGUGAUUUUAUUAAGACUGCUAUAGAUCUCCACAAGGUAGAGUGCUAUCCUUGCCUGGACCACCUCGGAGAGACUUUCAAGAUGAUUGAAGCAGGAUACCAAACUUCAGUUCUCUACUAAUUCUUAAGUUGCCCUUAGGUGUUCUGAAUAAGUUUGCAACUAUCAACUUGUACUAGCAGGUACUAGAUGUACUGUGCUUACCUGUACAACACCAAUAGAAUUUCAGGCUUGAUACAUCCUUAUAACACCACAUGGUACAAGUGUUAUGCCAACUCCAACAACAUACCCUGUGCGAGUGCAAGGUAUACUGUAAUGGACUGCCAUAUAGCAGCAAGGUAUCGGUAUGGGGUCUGGUGUUGACGCUUAAGGCACUGGUUACAAUACCUCCUUUUGCCAACUAUUAUUCUGAUACUUAUAAGUCACCGCAAAAAUGCACAAUCCAUGUCUUCAAAUGCACUAGAUAAUUUUAGACUCUGCAGAUCUUUUAGUGAUCCUUCUGACAAGUCUACCUUGUAUAGCAUUUCAUUAUCCUGCUAGAUAUUGUUCCCGAAUUUCAAGACAAUAAAUAUCUCCUCUGACGGUAAAUUCUUCAUCCUCACAUACUCUAUGUAUCCCCUAUCUAUCUUUUAAUGUGGCUGAUCUACCUUCUCACACUAAUUGGUCAUCUAUCACCACCAAUUUUUAUGCAGAUUUUCUCAUCCAAGAAAUGGUUGUAACAGUCCAGGCAGAAUGUUGGCCUCAAAUUUGCUUAUUCUCAUCCUCUUACCAUGUUAAGGAUCAUGAUAGCCUCUAGGACCAUAUCCUCUAUAACUAUUCUUCUUCAAACCUAGAUCUUAUCGUGAGCCAAUGAACAUCAUAUUUGAUGAGUGCACUGCUCCUAAUGUAGCUUAAAUACUAGAGCUUCUUGUGGAAAGAUAUUGCAAAGCUGAAUAACAAGACAAAACAAUAUAGAAGAAAACAGAGAGAAAAAACAGGAGCGGGAUGGUUGAGGGCCUAAGGCCUUCAAGUAUGUUGAUGCAUCCAAAGACUAGGGAACGUCACGAGUGUUGAAGAAUUUAAUAGAUUAAAUUUCAUUCUUUAGUUUCAA